UUUUGUAAUAACAUAGUAUAUUGCAUUGAUUUUAAGACAUUUAGCUAAAUGAAUUUGAUUAAUAUUAUGGUGUUUCCAUUCAGAGAAAAAUUGUUCCGUUUGUAAAUUCAGACCGUUUCGCCCUCGGAGCGCACACUGGACGUUCGGACCGAGGAGUAGGGUUGAUUUGAGCGUUUUGGCCUUACAACGGCAGUCAAGCACCCAAGCUAGCGUUGGCUAGCUACUCCCAGACACAAUUGAGACCACUCUGACCAUUUUACUCGCCCUAGUAGAGCUGGUAAGGCAGUUUUCGUGUUAACCAGAGCUGGACACAUUCAAUUUUUGACAAUGUUCUUUUCUGAUAAAAACGAGUUCAUUGCAUCCGCCGUGGAGCCCAGUUUCAUAAUAUGACCAUAUUUUCCAGCUGUUUGCCGUCGUUUUGAAGUAAUCGUGAAAAAAACAUGCCUUAUUUUAGUGCAUUUUUCACCCUGUCAGCUCCUAUUAGUUCUAUUGAGCACCGUGGCACCAACUCGCCUUCCGAACGUUCUAUUCCCAGUUUAUUGUUCAACGUCACAAUGCCUGUUUCGCUAUUGUUGACAAUGAGACCUGCUCACGUUGUUUUAUAGUUAAAAUGUAACAAACAAAAAUAAUAUUGGAACUCUGCGGCCUUCCCGUUGUUUCCUAUGGGGGAAAUAUAGGCAUGUCCGUCUAUUUCGUCAAAUAUCUCGCAAUGUGUAUAUUUAGAUUUUUUAAAGUCGGGUGUAACCGGUGUGAAAUGGCUAGCUAGUUAGCGACACAAAGGAAGUCAAAGCGGACACCUACAAAGAUGGCAUCUCAGAGAGCGAGCUGAUCAAGGGGUUGAAAAUGUAGACAUUGCCAAAUGUUCACUGUCCGAGGAACAGUCCGUGGAAGCUUUAUUGCUGGCAAAAGUGUCCAUAACCAAAGGUAAGUAAACUGUUGUGUGUUAUUUUUCUCCAUCUCUGCCUGUCUUGUUGCACCUGUCUCACAUGCAUUAAUUAAAAAUCCUUAAGAUGUCAGCUGCUAAUUUUCAGAUUUUACACCACAUGAACACAGCCAUUUUCACUGGACGAUCUGUUGCUGCCAAGUCAUGAUUUCCCUGGGGGUUAGCCUUGCAAUAACCAAGUGGUGAGACACAUAGCCCUCUAUAUUUAAAUGUUUCAGGUAGGUGUCUCCAUCACAUACAGUAUCUUCUAUUGACAUUAUCUUCUAUUGUUUGUCCUCAUGUGUCUGUUUUUCAGCAUAAAGUACUCUGUAGCCACUAAGUGCGGACACCAGGUGAGACCACACACACACAAUAACAGUCUCUCUUCUUCACUUCAUCCCUCUCCCCCUUCUCCCUAAAUCCUCUAGGGUAUAUCAGCUGUUUUGGUGAACCCCUCCCGCAUCUGAACUGGCUGACACAGAGGGCACAGCAUGAUCAUAGGUAUGUUUUGAUGUGAGAGAGGAAGCCAGUCCCGUCAUCGCCACCUCACCCACUCUUAAGAUAACCUUCAGGUCAACUGGGGGCCCAAGGCUGGUUAGGAGACACCGCAAUUGUGAUGAACUGAGAGAAUAUUGGGGUAGCACUGUAAUUCAUGAAUCAAAUGCGGUCUUCCACUGUUCUUACCUCUUUCCCUUUCUGUCUUCUACACCUCUCUCCACACCUCGUCUUUCUUCCACGUUUUAUAAUGCACACCAUAUGUGCAUUGAAGUACAGAUUGAACUUCUAUUUAUAAUAUUACAAUUAUCAUAAUUAUAAUGCAUUUAUGUAUUUAUAACACCUGGAUAAUGAACUUCUUUCAAUAAGGCAUUUCACAUUCUCCACUGGUUGAAAUUAAGUGUCUCAUUGAAAUACUAUCCUGUGUCCUCAGAUUAAUGCAGAUGAAGGGAGUUAGAUAUGCAUCGUUUUUUUUUCUGUGUAUAUGAAUUACAAAUAAACCAUGUUUCUAGUCUAUUGCAUAGUUACAAUGUGUAAUCAUUGAUCUCCCAGGAGCAGGAGUGGUAAACACUGUUGAAGUGUAUAAUUGUAAUACAUACAUGCAGACACAGCAUCAUUCAAAUAAUGGAGUUUGAUAUGACUGAAAAAUAAUGCCUCAGAGGUUCAUACCUGAACCACACCUUUAUUUGCCAAGGAAGAGUACAUUAUCAGUGAAUAUAUUCAAUGUACAGGCUACAAUGUGGGAAUCUCAUGCGUUGUAAUAA
ensembl:lncRNA